UAAUGGCGAACGAACGGGGAAGAGCUCAUAGCCGAAUCCGGCACCUUGCGGUGUCGGAAAUGUGGCGUAUGGGAGGCGACACUCUCCGAGUGCGGCCGGCGGUGCAAGUCCCCAUGAAAGGGGCAUGCAGCCCGUAGCGGGUGAUAGGCCCGUAACGCCGCUGGCCCGCGCGCGGAGUCGUCGUUCUCCUAGGAGUCGGGUUGCUUGGGAGUGCAGCCCAAAGUGGGUGGUAAACUCCACCUAAAGCUAAAUAAGACCGAGAGACCGAUAGCAAACAAGUACCAUGAGGGAAAGUUGAAAAGCACUUUGAAGAGAGAGUUCAAGAGUACGUGAAACCGCUCAGAGGUAAACGGGUGGGGCCUCGAAGUCCGAUGGUGGUGGCGGAUUCAGCCGAUGACGGUGACCGAGACUUGUUGGUGGGUCCCCAGGAAGGGUGAUUACAGCSAGUCGGAGUGCCCGAUGAAACGGCGCAUUUCCGCGUCCCACCCUAAGGAGCGUCGCAACUGGUUGGAGAGCCAUCGGAAGGGCGAGCUUUAAGGUAGCCACCUUUUCCUUAGGGAAUUGUGCGGUGUUACAGGAAGUUUGAGUCCCUGAUGGGCCCUCCGACCGUUUAGACCUAUGUUCCCUCCCGCCGAACCAGGGAGCAGUGGCUGUUACAUGGAGGUCCAUUGCAUCAGUGUCACGGAGAGCUGUGAACGCGGUGCAUCGUAAUCCGUGUGAGCGUAAUUCUGUAGUGGAGCAGUAGGUUGGCGGCGAGUAGGUCGGUUACCCACCCGACCCGUCUUGAAACACGGACCAAGGAGUCCAAUGCACGUGCGAGUUCCCGGGACUUGAAUAGGCCCGAGGGCGAAAUGAAAGUGAAGGUCCACGAGUCUGGACUUAGUUGGGAUCCGUUCCCGAGGGGGCGGCGCACCAACGGCCCGUCUCGCACCGGUUUCGGUGGGGCGGAGCUAGAGCACGUGCCUUGGGACCCGAAAGAUGGUGAACUAUGCCUGGGCAGGACGAAGCCAGAGGAAACUCUGGUGGAGGUCCGCAGCGAUUCUGACGUGCAAAUCGAUCGUC
rnacentral:rRNA from 1 species